rnacentral:rRNA from 1 species
GACGUAGGGCGCGAGCGUUGUCCGGAUUUAUUGGGCGUAAAGAGCUCGUAGGCGGCUUGUCACGUCGGUUGUGAAAGCCCGGGGCUUAACCCCGGGUCUGCAGUCGAUACGGGCAGGCUAGAGUGUGGUAGGGGAGAUCGGAAUUCCUGGUGUAGCGGUGAAAUGCGCAGAUAUCAGGAGGAACACCGGUGGCGAAGGCGGAUCUCUGGGCCAUUACUGACGCUGAGGAGCGAAAGCGUGGGGAGCGAACAGG